GUAUUGGCAGGGCCUUCGGACUGUAAACCGGUAAAGUCAGGGAAGAAAUCCUUUGAGCUAAUACCUCGGGGGGAUGACGGUACCUGAAGAAUAAGCACCGGCUAACUACGUGCCAGCAGCCGCGGUAAUACGUAGGGUGCAAGCGUUAAUCGGAAUUACUGGGCGUAAAGCGUGCGCAGGCGGUUAUGUAAGACAGAGGUGAAAUCCCCGGGCUCAACCUGGGAACUGCCUUUGUGACUGCAUAGCUUGAGUGCGGCAGAGGGGGAUGGAAUUCCGCGUGUAGCAGUGAAAUGCGUAGAUAUGCGGAGGAACACCGAUGGCGAAGGCAAUCCCCUGGGCCUGCACUGACGCUCAUGCACGAAAGCGUGGGGAGCAAACAGGAUUAGAUACCCUGGUAGUCCACGCCCUAAACGAUGUCAACUGGUUGUUGGGAAGGUUCCUUCUCAGUAACGUAGCUAACGCGUGAAGUUGACCGCCUGGGGAGUACGGCCGCAAGGUUGAAACUC
rnacentral:rRNA from 1 species